rnacentral:rRNA from 1 species
GACGAACCGAGCGAACGUUGUUCGGAAUCACUGGGCGUAAAGGGUGCGUAGGCGGGUCUUUAAGUCAGGGGUGAAAUCCUGGAGCUCAACUCCAGAACUGCCUUUGAUACUGAAGAUCUUGAGUUCGGGAGAGGUGAGUGGAACUGUGAGUGUAGAGGUGAAAUUCGUAGAUAUUCGCAAGAACACCAGUGGCGAAGGCGGCUCAUUGGCCCGAUACUGACGCUGAGGCACGAAAGCGUGGGGAGCAAACAGG